AUCAAGCUGACGAGUCCCAAAUAGGAUGAAACGAGUGUCUUGGAU
rnacentral:hammerhead_ribozyme from 1 species